UUUAUUUUCUCUGUUGAUUGACAUUGUGAGAGUAUUGUGCAGGUAAACAAAUUGAUAUUAUAUAUUUGGGCAUAUUUCUCUUGCCAGAGCCACAAUCGAUGUAAUCCCUAUCCCAGGCUGUUGUCCCCAAAUGCUUCAAGACAGCCACCAUUGUCCCUGUACCUAAGAAAGCAAAGAUGACACAACAGUAGUAGGCUUGAUUACCAACAAUGACUUGACAGCCUACAGCGAGGAGGUGAGGGCUUUGGGAGUGUGGUGCCAGGAAAUAACCUCUUACCCAACGUCAACAAAACUAAGGAGAUGGUGGACUUCAGGAAACAGCAGAGGGAGCACCCCCCUAUCCACAUCGAUGGGACCGCAGUGGAGAAGGUGGAAGGUUUUAAGUUCCUCGGCGUACACAUCACUUACAAAUUCAAACUGAAAUGGUCCACCCACACAGACAAUGUAGUAAAGAAGGCACAACAGCGCCUCUUCAACCUCAGGCGGCUAAAGAAAUUUGGCUUAACACCGAAAACCCUCACAAACUUUUACAGAUACACAAUUGAGAGCAUCCUGUUGGGCUGUAUCACUGCCUGGUACGGCAACUGCACCGCCCACAACGGCAAAGCUCUCCAGAGGGUGGGGCGGUCUGCCCAACGCAUUACCGGGUGCAAACUUCCCGCCCUCCUGACACCUACAGCACCUGAUGCCAUAGGAAUGCCAAAAAGAUCAUCAAGGACAUCAACCACCCGGACCACUGACUGUUCACCCCGAUAUCAUCCAGAAGGCGAAGUCAGUACAGGUGCAUCAAAGCUGGGACAGACAGAUUCUAUCUCAAGGCCCUCAGACUGCUAAACAGCCAUCACUAGCACAGAGGCGGCUGCCUAUAGACAUAGAUUAGGAAUCACUGGCCACUUUUAGAAAUGGAUCACUAGCCACUUUAAUAAUGUUAUGUAUCUAGCAUUACUCAUUAGGGAUGCACCGAUUUGACAUUUUUGGCCGAUACUGAUAUCUGAUAUUUUCCUUGCCAAAAAAAAUGAUACCGAUAUUUACAAUUUUAGCGGCCUUUUAAGCAUUCUAGUACAGUUAAAUAGUUAACACACACACAUGGACGCAGCGGUCUAAGGCACUGCAUCUCAGUGCAAGAGGUGUCACUACAGUCCCUGGUUUGAAUCCAGGCUGUGUCACAUCUGACUGUGAUUGAGAAUCCCGUUUUGCGGCGCACAAUUGGCCCAGCAUCAUCCGGGUCGUCAUUGUAAAUAAGAAUUUGUUCUUAACUGACUUGCCUAGUUAAAUAAAGGUUACACAAACACCA